rnacentral:rRNA from 1 species
GAUGAACGCUGGCGGCGUGCCUAAUACAUGCAAGUAGAACGCUGAAGGAAGGAGCUUGCUCUUUCCGGAUGAGUUGCGAACGGGUGAGUAACGCGUAGGUAACCUGCCUGGUAGCGGGGGAUAACUAUUGGAAACGAUAGCUAAUACCGCAUAACAGUAGAUGUUGCAUGAUAUCUACUUAAAAGGUGCAAUUGCACCACUACCAGAUGGACCUGCGUUGUAUUAGCUAGUUGGUGAGGUAACGGCUCACCAAGGCGACGAUACAUAGCCGACCUGAGAGGGUGAUCGGCCACACUGGGACUGAGACACGGCCCAGACUCCUACGGGAGGCAGCAGUAGGGAAUCCUCGGCAAUGGACGGAAGUCUGACCGAGCAACGCCGCGUGAGUGAAGAAGGUUGUCGGAUCGGAAAGCUCUGUUGUAAGAGAAGAACGAGUGUGAGAGUGGAAAGUUCACACUGUGACGGUAUCUUAUCAGAAAGGGACGGCUAACUACGUG